rnacentral:rRNA from 1 species
GACGAACGCUGGCGGCGUGCUUAACACAUGCAAGUGGAGCGACGAAACGGGCUUCGGCUCGUGGCAAAGCCGCGAACGGGUGAGUAACACGUGGGUAACCUGCCCCGAUGACCGGGACAACCCGAGGAAACUCGGGCUAAUACCGGAUGUGGUCCUUCCACACAAGUGGAAUGACCAAAGGUAGCUUCGGCCUCCGCAUCGGGAUGGGCCCGCGGCGCAUUAGCUUGUUGGUGGGGUAAUGGCCACCAAGGCGACGAUGCGUAGCUGGUCUGAGAGGACGAUCAGCCACACUGGGACUGAGACACGGCCCAGACUCCUACGGGAGGCAGCAGUGGGGAAUCUUGCGCAAUGCGCGAAAGCGUGACGCAGCAACGCCGCGUGAGGGAAGACGGCCU